UACAGAGGGUGCGAGCGUUAAUCGGAAUUACUGGGCGUAAAGCGCACGUAGGUGGCGACGUUAAGUCGGGUGUGAAAGCCCGGGCUCACCUGGGAAUUGCAUUGAGACUGCAUUGCUGGAGUACGGAAGAGAAGGCGGAAUUGCCCGGUGUAGCGGUGAAAUGCGUAGAUAUCGGAGGAACAUCAGUGGCGAAGGCGGCCUUCGUGGCCAGUACUGAC
rnacentral:rRNA from 1 species